rnacentral:rRNA from 1 species
GACGAACGCUGGCGGCGUGCUUAACACAUGCAAGUCGAACGGAAAGGCCCUGCUUUUGUGGGGUGCUCGAGUGGCGAACGGGUGAGUAACACGUGAGUAACCUGCCCUUGACUUUGGGAUAACUUCAGGAAACUGGGGCUAAUACCGGAUAGGAGCUCCUGCUGCAUGGUGGGGGUGGGAAAGUUUCGGCGGUUGGGAAGGGCCUCGCGGCUUUUCAGCUUGUGGGUGGGGUAUUGGCUUACCAAGGCUUUGCCGGGUAGCGGGCCUGAGAGGGUGACCGGCCACAUUGGGACUGGGAUACGGGCCAGACUCCUACGGGAGGCAGGAGUGGGGAAUAUUGCACAAUGGGCGGAAGCCUGAUGCAGCAACGCCGCGUGCGGGAUGACGGCCUUCGGGUUGUAAACCGCUUUCGCCUGUGACGAAGCGUGAGUGACGGUAAUGGGUAAAGAAGCACCGGCUAACUACGUG